rnacentral:rRNA from 1 species
CCUACGGGCGGCAGCAGUGAGGAAUAUUGGUCAAUGGACGAGAGUCUGAACCAGCCAAGUAGCGUGAAGGAUGACUGCCCUAUGGGUUGUAAACUUCUUUUAUAUGGGAAUAAAAUGUUCCACGUGUGGGAUUUUGUAUGUACCAUAUGAAUAAGGAUCGGCUAACUCCGUGCCAGCAGCCGCGGUAAUACGGAGGAUCCGAGCGUUAUCCGGAUUUAUUGGGUUUAAAGGGAGCGUAGGUGGAUUGUUAAGUCAGUUGUGAAAGUUUGCGGCUCAACCGGAAAAUUGCAGUUGAAACUGGCAGUCUUGAGUACAGUAGAGGUGGGCGGAAUUCGUGGUGUAGCGGUGAAAUGCUCAGAUAUCACGAAGAACUCCGAUUGCGAAGGCAGUUCACUGGACUGCAACUGACACUGAGGCUCGAAAGUGUGGGUAUCAAACAGGAUUAGAUACCCGGGUAGUC